UGGGGAAUAUUGCACAAUGGGCGCAAGCCUGAUGCAGCCAUGCCGCGUGUAUGAAGAAGGCCUUCGGGUUGUAAAGUACUUUCAGUCGGGAGGAAGGUGUCAAGGUUAAUAACCUUGGCAAUUGACGUUACCGACAGAAGAAGCACCGGCUAACUCCGUGCCAGCAGCCGCGGUAAUACGGAGGGUGCAAGCGUUAAUCGGAAUUACUGGGCGUAAAGCGCACGCAGGCGGUUGAUUGAGUCAGAUGUGAAAUCCCCGGGCUUAACCCGGGAAUUGCAUCUGAUAUUGGUCAGCUAGAGUCUUGUAGAGGGGGGUAGAAUUCCAUGUGUAGCGGUGAAAUGCGUAGAGAUGUGGAGGAAUACCGGUGGCGAAGGCGGCCCCCUGGACAAAGACUGACGCUCAGGUGCGAAAGCGUGGGGAGCAAACAGG
rnacentral:rRNA from 1 species